UUCCAUGUUCUCAAUUUCUUCUCUUCCUAUUUGGAGCUUGCAGACGAAAAGAGUGCGAAACAAGAGUUCGAGAAAACCCAAGUUCCCGCUUACAAAGAGAUAGGUCGAAGAAACAAUUGUCCAUGGUUUCCUGUUUCUUAUUUGGUAGACAAAUAAGAUCCGCUGAUGUUGACACAAAUGAAAAUUUUAGUGGAGAUGACAUAGACAAUGAUAGUUAUUCAUCACAGGAUGAUUAGCUGCUGCUGUGCUUGAUCGAGAGGAGUUUUCUUUUCAGCAGUAAUUUUGGAGAGCCAUAGGAGACAUGCUGUGCUUGAUUAGCUGCUGCUAGUAUUUGCUUUUUGCUUUUGAAAGCUAGGUCUGGAAUAGUCCAGUAAUUCUGCUGUGCUUGAUCGAGAGGAGUUUUCUUUUCAGUAGUAACUCUGCGAUGCUUGUUAUCCAAAAGAUAUCACAAUGAUGUAAUGCAGAUGUGUAAUUAAGUAGUUGAAGAAGGUGGCCUGUGGUUGUUAUUCAACAAACUGAUUGAUUAUAUUGCUU
rnacentral:lncRNA from 1 species